rnacentral:rRNA from 1 species
GAUCAUGGCUCAGGAUGAACGCUAGCUACAGGCUUAACACAUGCAAGUCGAGGGGAAACGAUAGAGAAAGCUUGCUUUUCUAGGCGUCGACCGGCGCACGGGUGAGUAACGCGUAUCCAACCUGCCCACCACUUGGGGAUAACCUUGCGAAAGUAAGACUAAUACCCAAUGACGUCUCUAGAAGACAUCUGAAAGAGAUUAAAGAUUUAUCGGUGAUGGAUGGGGAUGCGUCUGAUUAGCUUGUUGGCGGGGUAACGGCCCACCAAGGCGACGAUCAGUAGGGGUUCUGAGAGGAAGGUCCCCCACAUUGGAACUGAGACACGGUCCAAACUCCUACGGGAGGCAGCAGUGAGGAAUAUUGGUCAAUGGACGAGAGUCUGAACCAGCCAAGUAGCGUGCAGGGUGACGGCCCUAUGGGUUGUAAACUGCUUUUAUAAGGGAAUAAAGUGAGUCUCGUGAGACUUUUUGCAUGUACCUUAUGAAUAAGGACCGGCUAAUUCCGUG